rnacentral:rRNA from 1 species
GACGAACGCUGGCGGCGUGCUUAACACAUGCAAGUCGAACGGAAAGGCCCUGCUUUUGUGGGGUGCUCGAGUGGCGAACGGGUGAGUAACACGUGAGUAACCUGCCCUUGACUUUGGGAUAACUUCAGGAAACUGGGGCUAAUACCGGAUAGGAGCUCCUGCUGCAUGGUGGGGGUUGGAAAGUUUCGGCGGUUGGGGAUGGACUCGCGGCUUAUCAGCUUGUUGGUGGGGUAGUGGCUUACCAAGGCUUUGACGGGUAGCCGGCCUGAGCGGGUGACCGGCCACAUUGGGACUGAGAUACGGCCCAGACUCCUACGGGAGGCAGCAGUGGGGAAUAUUGCACAGUGGGCGGAAGCCUGAUGCAGCAACGCCGCGUGCGGGAUGACGGCCUUCGGGUUGUAAACCGCUUUCGCCUGUGACGAAGCGUGAGUGACGGUAAUGGGUAAAGAAGCACCGGCUAACUACGUG